CUACGGGGCGCUCCAGUGGGGAAUAUUGCACAAUGGGCGCAAGCCUGAUGCAGCCAUGCCGCGUGUAUGAAGAAGGCCUUCGGGUUGUAGAGUACUUUCAGCGGGGAGGAAGGGAGUAAAGUUAAUACCUUUGCUCAUUGACGUUACCCGCAGAAGAAGCACCGGCUAACUCCGUGCCAGCAGCCGCGGUAAUACGGAGGGUGCGAGCGUUAAUCGGAAUUACUGGGCGUAAAGCGCACGCAGGCGGUUUGUUAAGUCAGAUGUGAAAUCCCCGGGCUCAACCUGGGAACUGCAUCUGAUACUGGCAAGCUUGAGUCUCGUAGAGGGGGGUAGAAUUCCAGGUGUAGCGGUGAAAUGCGUAGAGAUCUGGAGGAAUACCGGUGGCGAAGGCGGCCCCCUGGACGAAGACUGACGCUCAGGUGCGAAAGCGUGGGGAGCAAACAGGAUUAGAUACCCCUGUAGUC
rnacentral:rRNA from 1 species